rnacentral:tRNA from 1 species
GGGAGCGGCUGGGGUCUGGUGGCCUUCCCGGGCUUCAAACCCGUGGGUGGGCCGCGAGAGCGGUCCGCGGUGGGUUCGAUUCCCACACGCUCCC